GGAAUGUUCACAUUUCUUCCAACGGUCAUAUUUUACACUAGCUAGCUAUUCCACUCUUCAAUCCUGACUCCUAAAAUGGCAUGAAAUUCAAAGCACAAAGACAGAUUUAUGAAGAAAUUACUCAAACUAGAGGCAUCUAAAAGUCAAAGGAAGGAGGAGGGAACGCAAAAGCAAAAAACAAACUCAGACCAAGCGCCCAUACACUCCCCCCAGCGCUCCACAGUCUGCCAGGACUGAAACCAAUCUGGCAAGGAACACAAGAAAGGUUGUUGACGGGACAAAGGAUCUUCUCCUUAUGGAGAAGGUCACAGACAGGGAUAGUAAAGCUAAGGAAGAGGAGGAAGAGGAGAUUAAGGCUCUUAAAAAAGAGGAGAAACAGUUGAAGAUCCGAAACUAUGAACAGACAACCCUGAACAUGUCUCUCCAGAGAGCCUUGCUUCUAAAACUUGAAGCUGUGCCCCAGCCUCCAGCCUCUCGGGUCCCUGCCCAACCACAAGCCCCAAAGUACGACCCCUUUCAUUGAGUUGGAUUGAUGAUAGUACUAUUCUGUUAAGACUGAGCCUAUGAACAACAGUGAGACUAACACAUGCAGCAGCACUGGACAGCCAUGCAGGCGAAGUUAAGACAGGGCCUGUAAACAACAGUGAGACUGACUACAGCAGAAGGCAGCACUGGACAGCCAUGCAGGCGAAGGCAACACCACACACAGUUUCAGCCUGAAUCAUCUUUUAUGCCGUGCUGGUGAAAUGGACAAUCAAACAUGUCAGCUGUUGCUUCAUUGGAUAAUAAAAUGUCCAUGCAAUCAUA